AAUGAACGCUGGCGGCGUGCCUAACACAUGCAAGUCGGAUGUGCCGCAAGGUGCAUGGCAGACGGGUGAGUAACGCGUGGGGAACCUACCUCUUCGUGGGGAAUAACGAUCCGAAAGGAUUGGUAAUACCGCAUGAGACCGACGGCUGGGAUGCUGUCGGUGAAAGCUGGGGACCGGAAACGGCCUGGCGCGAGGAGAGGGUCCUGCGUCUGAUUAGCUAGUUGGUGGGUAACGGCCUACCAAGGCAUCGAUCAGUAGCCGGCCUGAGAGGGUGAUCGGCCACACUGGAACUGAGACACGGUCCAGACUCCUACGGGAGGCAGCAGUGGGGAAUUUUGCGCAAUGGACGAAAGUCUGACGCAGCAACGCCGCGUGGGUGAUGAAGGUCUUCGGGUGUAAAGCUCUUUCGGCCGGGAAAAAAUCGCCUCUCCUAAUACGGGGGUGGAUGAUGGUACCGGACUAAGAAGCACCGGCUAACUACGUGCCAGCAGCCG
rnacentral:rRNA from 1 species